rnacentral:rRNA from 1 species
AUGAACGCUAGCUACAGGCUUAACACAUGCAAGUCGAGGGGCAGCAUGGUCUUAGCUUGCUAAGGCCGAUGGCGACCGGCGCACGGGUGAGUAACACGUAUCCAACCUGCCGUCUACUCUUGGACAGCCUUCUGAAAGGAAGAUUAAUACAAGAUGGCAUCAUGAGUCCGCAUGUUCACAUGAUUAAAGGUAUUCCGGUAGACGAUGGGGAUGCGUUCCAUUAGAUAGUAGGCGGGGUAACGGCCCACCUAGUCUUCGAUGGAUAGGGGUUCUGAGAGGAAGGUCCCCCACAUUGGAACUGAGACACGGUCCAAACUCCUACGGGAGGCAGCAGUGAGGAAUAUUGGUCAAUGGGCGAGAGCCUGAACCAGCCAAGUAGCGUGAAGGAUGACUGCCCUAUGGGUUGUAAACUUCUUUUAUAAAGGAAUAAAGUCGGGUAUGGAUACCCGUUUGCAUGUACUUUAUGAAUAAGGAUCGGCUAACUCCGUGCCAGCAGCCGCGGUAAUACGGAGGAUCCGAGCGUUAUCCGGAUUUAUUGGGUUUAAAGGGAGCGUAGAUGGAUGUUUAAGUCAGUUGUGAAAGUUUGCGGCUCAACCGUAAAAUUGCAGUUGAUACUGGAUAUCUUGAGUGCAGUUGAGGCAGGCGGAAUUCGUGGUGUAGCGGUGAAAUGCUUAGAUAUCACGAAGAACUCCGAUUGCGAAGGCAGCCUGCUAAGCUGCAACUGACAUUGAGGCUCGAAAGUGUGGGUAUCAAACAGGAUUAGAUACCCUGGUAGUCCACACGGUAAACGAUGAAUACUCGCUGUUUGCGAUAUACAGCAAGCGGCCAAGCGAAAGCGUUAAGUAUUCCACCUGGGGAGUACGCCGGCAACGGUGAAACUCAAAGGAAUUGACGGGGGCCCGCACAAGCGGUGGAGUAUGUGGUUUAAUUCGAAGCAACGCGAAGAACCUUACCAGGCCUUGACAUCCCUUGCAGAGGUAUAGAGAUAUAUCCGAGGUUAUCAAGGAGACAGGUGGUGCAUGGUUGUCGUCAGCUCGUGCCGUGAGGUGUCGGCUUAAGUGCCAUAACGAGCGCAACCCUUGUUGUCAGUUACUAACAGGAUUUGCUGAGGACUCUGACAAGACUGCCAUCGUAAGAUGUGAGGAAGGUGGGGAUGACGUCAAAUCAGCACGGCCCUUACGUCCGGGGCUACACACGUGUUACAAUGGGGGGUACAGAGGGCCGCUACCACGCGAGUGGAUGCCAAUCCCCAAAACCUCUCUCAGUUCGGACUGGAGUCUGCAACCCGACUCCACGAAGCUGGAUUCGCUAGUAAUCGCGCAUCAGCCACGGCGCGGUGAAUACGUUCCCGGGCCUUGUACACACCGCCCGUCAAGCCAUGGGAGCCGGGGGUACCUGAAGUGCGUAACCGCGAGGAGCGCCCUAGGGUAAAACUGGUGACUGGGGCU